CCUACGGGAUGCACCAGUGGGGAAUAUUGCACAAUGGGCGCAAGCCUGAUGCAGCCAUGCCGCGUGUAUGAAGAAGGCCUUAGGGUUGUAAAGUACUUUCAGUUGGGAGGAAGGCGUUGAUGCUAAUAUCAUCAACGAUUGACGUUACCAACAGAAGAAGCACCGGCUAACUCCGUGCCAGCAGCCGCGGUAAUACGGAGGGCGCAAGCGUUAAUCGGAAUUACUGGGCGUAAAGCGCACGCAGGCGGUCUGUCAAGUCGGAUGUGAAAUCCCCGGGCUCAACCUGGGAACUGCAUUCGAAACUGGCAGGCUAGAGUCUUGUAGAGGGGGGUAGAAUUCCAGGUGUAGCGGUGAAAUGCGUAGAGAUCUGGAGGAAUACCGGUGGCGAAGGCGGCUUACUGGUCUGCAACUGACGCUGAGGCGCGAAAGCGUGGGGAGCAAACAGGAUUAGAUACCCCGGUAGUC
rnacentral:rRNA from 1 species